CCCAGGCCUAAUUCCAUUUCUUGGGAUCGUCCAUUCUCUGACUCACGACAGGGUAUAGGAGGCCUAACCAAUUAUGAGCACAAAGGAGAGAUUAAGUGAACCAGUAAGUGUUUAGUCCAAGUGGGCCUGGAUUCAGUUUGCCAAUCCUACCACAUGGGGACGAUAGGAAGCAAGAGGGGUAGUUACAAUAUGCCUUUCUAAUACGCAAUGACUGCCAACGGUAGCCCAGACAGUAUUCCAGAAGUUGACAAAACAUAGACGCUCCUCCUUGGGAUUGAAAUGUAUGGGGGUGGGGGGAAGAGCGAGAAGGGAGAGUGAAAGAAGAGGAUAGAGAUUUUCUUUCUACUUCAAAAUACAUCUUUCCAGUCACUUUGGUCCCCUGGUUUGUGAUGCAGAGUCCUUCAUUCAGUUUCCAGUGCAACCCUUUCUGAUGAAUUCACCCCAGAGUCACUUUUACUAUCAUGGGAUCCAUCAUAUUAAAACGGCACUUAGGAGCUGGGUGAGGCAGUGAGGAGGACAAUGGAAAGACUGAGCAGCAAGAAGAGAGGAGGGAAUAGAGAUGGAGAGGGUCCAACAAUGUGCUAGCAAAAAGAAGCAGAGGACAGCUACUGGAGC
rnacentral:lncRNA from 1 species